GCCAGGUGUGGUGUUGCACACCUAUAGUCCCAGCUACUGAGGAGGCUGAGGCAGGAGGAUCACUUGAGCCCAGGAGUUUGAGGCUGCAGUGAGCUGUAAUGGAGUGCACUGCUGCACUCCAUCCUGUGCAACAGAGCGAGAUCCUGCCUCAC
ensembl:misc_RNA Metazoa_SRP Metazoan signal recognition particle RNA